UACAGAGGGUGCAAGCGUUGUUCGGAUUUACUGGGCGUAAAGCGUGUGUAGGCGGCUUGGCAAGUUGGAUGUGAAAGCCCACGGCUCAACCGUGGAAGCGCAUCCAAAACUGCUUCGCUCGAGUCUCGGAGAGGAAGGUGGAAUGCUUGGUGUAGAGGUGAAAUUCGUAGAUAUCAAGCAGAACACCUGCGGCGAAGGCGGCCUUCUGGACGAUGACUGACGCUGAGACACGAAAGCGUGGGGAGCAAACAGG
rnacentral:rRNA from 1 species